GCGUUCCAGGAGGGAGCCCCGGCAAGGAGCCCCGGGAAAGAGCCCCGGGCCGGGCCUAGUCGCGCCCGGUCCCGCCCGUCGCCCGGCAACGGCCGCGCCGGCGAUCGCCUGCGUUAGUCGGGAAUCGCCUCAUGUCGCCGCAGCGCCACUUCCUCAGCCGGGCCAAAGCCGCGCCGCCAGGAUUUAUUAUCUGUGCCCGUGCCCUGCCAGGAUUUAUUAUCGGUGUCCCUAUCCUGCAAAUAACCCUGUUCCCACAAGGAGCGCAUCCAUACAUCCAUGACACUCGUACCAGGGCCGAAACACCUUGGUCGACCCCACCCUUGCGGUCAGAGCGGUUGUGCGAUCCACCUGGCAAGCAGCUUUCCCCCGGUGAGCGGACACUGUGCCAAGCAGCACACGUUCCUGCAGAGCUGGUGUCCUAGAGGUCAUUGUCCCCAGUAUGGGCCACGAUGAAGGCACCUGAAUUCCACGGUGCUCUGGGAAUACCAAUCUCAUGCAUCAAAGGAAAGCUGUACACUUCAGGACCAGUAAAAGAGCUGUUGGAGAGCAAUUUCUUUUCAGCUUACACUGGAGACAAGGUUACUAUUUAUGAUUCUUCUUUUAAUGGAGAAAAUACAAGAGUGAAAGAGUUGACUUUCUGAGUACAGAAGUAAUAUGGAAUCUCUCCUCCAGAAGUUAAGGGCAUUUGAGAGUUAUGAAAAAUCCAAAGCCAAGACAAUUACGGAAACAACUGCGCAAGGAAGUGGUGGAAUCAUCAUCUGGAAGUGUUCAAAAGGCCUGUGGAUUGGGCACUUUGGGACAAGUGAAUAUGGUGGUACUGGUUUAAUGUUUGGCCUUGAUGAUCUUAGAGGUCUUUUACAACCUAAACAAUUCUGUGAUU